rnacentral:misc_RNA from 1 species
GGAAGUUUAACUUUGAUAAAGAAAGGAGAAGAAUCUGAACAUAAAAAGGGGAAGAAGUUUAUUUUGGAGGUUAUUGCAUUUCUUUUUCUUUUACCUUUUCUGGAAAACUCAAAUGCAUUCAUUAAUAUUUACCAAGAUGGUGCAGGGAGUAUGUACUGAUAGGGUGUCUGCUUUACACAUUCAUCCAUCAAGAUAGCCCAUUUGUCUGUUCAAAAAUUAAAUGCUCUUCUUGCACCUGAAGUACAAGAAAAACAAUCACUUGUAUAUUAUUUUUAUCAUUCUCAACUAUAAUGGAAGAGUCUCCUACUUCUUUCGAUCCAAAGAAUCCAGAAAAGGCACAAAAGUGUAGUUCUUCAAUCUGCACUUCAGCUCGACCGUAUUAACUCAUAUGCUCCUGGGAACACUCAUGAGAUGCUAAGCAAGGAGCAUUAUAAGGCUCCAUAGCUGUGAUGUGAAACUAGAUCCACUAAGAGGCGAUUUAUAUCCUCUCUAUGCCUCUUGCUUAUGCUGCACCUUUGUAUAUUUUCAUGGAGGAGAAGCUUAAACCAUGAAAGAAGCUUUUAGAUUAGUCAUCCAUAAUUGUUGUUCUGUGGGGUAA